rnacentral:rRNA from 1 species
CGUCCUGCGCGGAAGAUAUACCGGGGCUCAAGACGUGUACCGAAGCCGCGGGUGCGUGCAUUCUUCGGAGUGCGCGCACGGUAGGGGAGCGUUCCGUAGCCCGUUGAAGGCGUGCCGUGAGGCAUGCUGGAGGCAUCGGAAGUGAGAAUGCUGACAUGAGUAGCGACAAUGCGGGUGAGAGGCCCGCACGCCGAAAGCCCAAGGUUUCCUGCGCAACGCUAAUCGGCGCAGGGUGAGUCGACCCCUAAGGCGAGGCCGAAAGGCGUAGUCGAUGGGAAUCAGGUUAAUAUUCCUGAACCGAAUAUAACUGCGACGGGGUGACGGAGAAGGCUAGGUCGGCCGGGUGUCGGAUAUCCCGGUUUAAGCGUGUAGGUUGGGAGCCCAGGAAAAUCCGGGCUUCCUUAAGACUGAGACGUGACGACGAGCGCCCUAACGGGCGCGAAGCGAUUGAUGCCAUGCUUCCAGGAAAACCCUCUAAGCUUCAGGUUGUAUUCGAUCGUACCCCAAACCGACACAGGUGGGCGGGGAGAGAAUCCCAAGGCGUUGAGAGAACUCUGGUGAAGGAACUCGGCAAAAUGACACCGUAACUUCGGGAGAAGGUGUGCCUCCGGUAGGUGAAGGGCUUCGCGCCCGGAGCCGAUGGGGGUUGCAACAAAGAGGUGGCUGCGACUGUUUACUAAAAACAUAGCACUCUGCAAACUCGCAAGAGGAAGUAUAGGGUGUGACGCCUGCCCGGUGCCGGAAGGUUAAGUGAUGGGGUUAGCCCUUGGGCGAAGCUCUUGAUCGAAGCCCCGGUGAACGGCGGCCGUAACUAUAACGGUCCUAAGGUAGCGAAAUUCCUUGUCGGGUAAGUUCCGACCUGCACGAAUGGCGUAACGAUGGCCACACUGUCUCCACCAGAGGCUCAGCGAAAUUGAACUCGCUGUGAAGAUGCAGCGUACCCGCGGCUAGACGGAAAGACCCCGUGAACCUUUACUACAGCUUCACACUGGACUUUGAGCACGCAUGUGCAGGAUAGGUGGAAGGCUUUGAAGCGGAGACGCCAGUCUUCGUGGAGCCAACCUUGAGAUACCACCCUUGCUUGUUUGGGGCCCUAACCGAGGCCCGUGAUCCGGGUCCGGGACCAUGUGUGGCGGGUAGUUUGACUGGGGCGGUCUCCUCCCAAAGAGUAACGGAGGAGCGCGAAGGUGCUCUAAGUGCGGUCGGAAAUCGCACGGCUAGUGCAAAGGCACAAGAGCGCUUGACUGCGAGACAGACACGUCGAGCAGGUGCGAAAGCAGGUCUUAGUGAUCCGGUGGUUCUGUAUGGAAGGGCCAUCGCUCAACGGAUAAAAGGUACUCCGGGGAUAACAGGCUGAUACCGCCCAAGAGUUCACAUCGACGGCGGUGUUUGGCACCUCGAUGUCGGCUCAUCACAUCCUGGGGCUGUAGCCGGUCCCAAGGGUAUGGCUGUUCGCCAUUUAAAGUGGUACGCGAGCUGGGUUUAGAACGUCGUGAGACAGUUUGGUCCCUAUCUGCCGUGGGCGCCGGAGACUUGAGAGGAGCUGCUCCCAGUACGAGAGGACCGGAGUGGACGUACCUCUGGUGUUCCGGUUGUGAUGCCAAUCGCAUUGCCGGGUAGCUAUGUACGGACGGGAUAACCGCUGAAAGCAUCUAAGCGGGAAGCCCCCCUCGAGAUUAGGUCUCCCCGGGGCCUUGCGCCCCCUGAAGGGUCGUUGAAGACUACAACGUUGAUAGGCUGGGUGUGGAAGUUCAGCAAUGAAUGAAGCUAACCAGUACUAAUUGCCCGUGCGGCUUGACCAU